CCUACGGGAGGCAGCAGUGAGGAAUAUUGGUCAAUGGACGAGAGUCUGAACCAGCCAAGUAGCGUGAAGGAUGACUGCCCUAUGGGUUGUAAACUUCUUUUAUAUGGGAAUAAAAUGUUCCACGUGUGGGAUUUUGUAUGUACCAUAUGAAUAAGGAUCGGCUAACUACGUGCCAGCAGCCGCGGUAAUACGGAGGAUCCGAGCGUUAUCCGGAUUUAUUGGGUUUAAAGGGAGCGUAGGGGGAUUGUUAAGUCAGUUGUGAAAGUUUGCGGCUCAACCGUAAAAUUGCAGUUGAAACUGGCAGUCUUGAGUACAGUAGAGGUGGGCGGAAUGCGUGGUGUAGCGGUGAAAUGCUUAGAUAUCACGAAGAACUCCGAUUGCGAAGGCAGUUCACUGGACUGCAACUGACACUGAGGCUCGAAAGUGUGGGUAUCAAACAGGAUUAGAUACCCGAGUAGUC
rnacentral:rRNA from 1 species